GUGACUGCGUACCUUUUGUAUAAUGGGUCAGCGACUUAUAUUCUGUAGCAAGGUUAACCGAAUAGGGGAGCCGAAGGGAAACCGAGUCUUAACUGGGCGUUAAGUUGCAGGGUAUAGACCCGAAACCCGGUGAUCUAGCCAUGGGCAGGUUGAAGGUUGGGUAACACUAACUGGAGGACCGAACCGACUAAUGUUGAAAAAUUAGCGGAUGACUUGUGGCUGGGGGUGAAAGGCCAAUCAAACCGGGAGAUAGCUGGUUCUCCCCGAAAGCUAUUUAGGUAGCGCCUCGUGAAUUCAUCUCCGGGGGUAGAGCACUGUUUCGGCAAGGGGGUCAUCCCGACUUACCAACCCGAUGCAAACUGCGAAUACCGGAGAAUGUUAUCACGGGAGACACACGGCGGGUGCUAACGUCCGUCGUGAAGAGGGAAACAACCCAGACCGCCAGCUAAGGUCCCAAAGUCAUGGUUAAGUGGGAAACGAUGUGGGAAGGCCCAGACAGCCAGGAUGUUGGCUUAGAAGCAGCCAUCAUUUAAAGAAAGCGUAAUAGCUCACUGGUCGAGUCGGCCUGCGCGGAAGAUGUAACGGGGCUAAACCAUGCACCGAAGCUGCGGCAGCGACACUAUGUNCAGCCAGGAUGUUGGCUUAGAAGCAGCCAUCAUUUAAAGAAAGCGUAAUAGCUCACUGGUCGAGUCGGCCUGCGCGGAAGAUGUAACGGGGCUAAACCAUGCACCGAAGCUGCGGCAGCGACGCUUAUGCGUUGUUGGGUAGGGGAGCGUUCUGUAAGCCUGCGAAGGUGUACUGUGAGGUAUGCUGGAGGUAUCAGAAGUGCGAAUGCUGACAUAAGUAACGAUAAAGCGGGUGAAAAGCCCGCUCGCUGGA
rnacentral:rRNA from 1 species